rnacentral:rRNA from 1 species
UACGGAGGGUGCAAGCGUUGUUCGGAAUUAUUGGGCGUAAAGCGCGUGUAGGCGGCUACUCAAGUCCGAUGUGAAAGCCCCGGGCUCAACCUGGGAACUGCAUUUGAAACUGGCGGGCUUGAGUAUGGCAGAGGGGGGUGGAAUUCCACGUGUAGCAGUGAAAUGCGUAGAGAUGUGGAGGAACACCGAUGGCGAAGGCAGCCCCCUGGGUCAAGAUUGACGCUCAUGCACGAAAGCGUGGGGAGCAAACAGG